UUUUUUUUUUUUUUUUGAAAAUUUGUUUCAUUUGUUAUAAUUCACCAGCAGAAAACUUAAUCAGCCUUUUCUUACGUGGCAGAGGUGCUGUUCGAUUCUUUCCUAAGGGUCCUUCAUCAUGUACAGUAGAGCUAACUGUUUCUUACGAGGUUCCUCAACUUUUGGUUCCAGUUGCAACAGUAAGCAUUCUUACUACUUCUUGUUUUCAGUGAACAAAGGAUAAAACAAAUUAGAAUUCAGAUAUUGUUUGAUUACAUUUAAAAGGAUCGCCUGAUUAUUUGCCUGGAACAGAAGUCUCAGGAAAUGUGCAUGUGAAAGAGGAUAUUUACAUAUGUAAUAUUUUUUAGGCUUGAAAUGUAAUGAAGUGGUCAGUUAUAUAUAUAU
rnacentral:misc_RNA from 1 species